rnacentral:rRNA from 1 species
UGCAAGUCGAACGCGACUUUCCCGCAAGGGAAAGUUGAGUGGCGAACGGGUGAGUAACACGUGGGUGACCUACCUUCGAGUGGGGGAUAACGUCCCGAAAGGGACGCUAAUACCGCAUAACGUCCUGCCUUUGAACAGGUGGAGACCAAAGCCGGGGAUCGCAAGACCCGGCGUUUGAAGAGGGGCCCGCGUCCGAUUAGCUAGUUGGUGAGGUAAUGGCCCACCAAGGCGACGAUCGGUAACCGGCCUGAGAGGGCGGACGGUCACACUGGGACUGAGACACGGCCCAGACUCCUACGGGAGGCAGCAGUGGGGAAUUGUUCACAAUGGGCGCAAGCCUGAUGACGCAACGCCGCGUGGAGGAUGAAGGUCUUCGGAUUGUAAACUCCUGUUGCUCGGGACGAAUAGCUACGACCUAAUACGUCGGAGUCUGACGGUACCGAGUGAGGAAGCCCCGGCUAACUCUGUGCCAGCAGCCGCGGUAAUACAGAGGGGGCAAGCGUUGUUCGGAAUUACUGGGCGUAAAGGGCGCGUAGGCGGCCUGUUAAGUCGAACGUGAAAUCCCCGGGCUCAACCCGGGAACUGCGUCCGAUACUGGCAGGCUUGAAUUCGGGAGAGGGAUGCGGAAUUCCAGGUGUAGCGGUGAAAUGCGUAGAUAUCUGGAGGAACACCGGUGGCGAAGGCGGCAUCCUGGACCGAGAUUGACGCUGAGGCGCGAAAGCCAGGGAGCAAACGGGAUUAGAUACCCCGGUAGUCCUGGCCCUAAACGAUGAAUGCUUGGUGUGGCGGGUAUCGAUCCCUGCCGUGCCGAAGCUAACGCAUUAAGCAUUCGCCUGGGGAGUACGGUCGCAAGGCUG